rnacentral:snoRNA from 1 species
CUACAAUGAUGGUUGAUAUUUUUCGUCAACAGCAGUUCACCUAGUGAGUGUUGAUACUUUGGGUCUGAGUGA